CUUAAAGAGGUUAGUGACAUCCAUAGUUAUUCAAAUUUAAAUAGAGUUCAAUUACAAUGAGAUGGUAUCAAUAUUUUCUCUAAUUUGACAUCCUUUACAAAACAAAUCGAUGCAUACAUACCUAAUUACAAGUAUGAUAAAUGUUUACUGUUAUAACAUGAAUAUACAGAUUACUAGGCCAAGACCUUGAAGCUACUAGUUUGGUUGCUUCUUUGUAUAUUCCCUGGGUCCAAAUAUGGUUGAUCCAACUCUCACGUUAGUACUGCCCAUUUCAAUCUGCGUGGUUCACAAAGUGAUGUUCAUUAGCUGCUAUGAAUAAACAGCAAAUCAGAGAUUUUCAGUAAAUCAGAGAUUUUCAGUAAAUCAGAGAUUUUCAGUAAAUCAGAGAUUUUCAGUAAAUCAGAAAAGAAGGGAACCCCUGAAGAUGUUCAAUUUAUCUUUACAAGAGAAGCGUAAAAGGAAUUCAUAUUCACUCAUGACUAUUAGAACCUUAGAAACUUGCAGAAUUCCCUAACAGAUCAAGGACACUGUUCUAAAAAGUUCCAGGGUACGAUCGCAAUAUUUCUAAAAUGUCGCCCCCAUAAAGUCCAGAAACUUCGUUGCGAAACUUAUAAAACCAUUUCUCAGUGAAAAUGUUCCCUAUUUUGGCAAGACAUGGGUUCCAAGUCUUUCGACUUUCAAGAAACUAUGAUCUAGUUCAAAACAAGGUUCCACAUUUCAGUUUUGUGAAAUUGUGGUACUUUGAGAUGUGAGAAAGUUAUACUUGACGCUGUCACCAUAGCAUCAGGAGUCAAUGGAAGCUCAGUCCUAUUUCACCACAAGAAAAUAACCUUACCGCUUGCUCAAAAUCACCAGACAUGCCCAUUGAUAGCUCACACUGGUCCUCAGCCAUUCCAAGUGCCUUGCAAACCUCAAGUCUACAGUUCAAUAGUGUCUGUUGCAUGAAAGUUAAUAAGAUGAUAUGUACAGAUAUUCCCUAACAACAAAAAACACAGAAAAAAGAGGAACUACAUAUAAAUCGAUUAUUUGUUUAAUUGUGUAUAACAAAGAGGCUUCCCAUAUCACAUGGAUAUCAGAAAAAAUAUUUUGUAAGGCAAAAAGACCAUCUAAUAAGCAGAACAAGUUAAAUUAAGCAUAUGCAAUAAAGAAGCAGAUAAAAUGAUUAGAUGAUGUGAGAUAACACCAAACUUUUGAAUUAUUUCAAGCCCAUAUGAUGAAGUCAUAUUUGUGUAAUGUUUUAUGUGAUAAGGGCAAAGCAUCACCCUAAAGUUCUCUGGAGUUGAUGUAUAGUCCGGCAUCCCUAUUGUCAUUAAGCCAGAAAAUACCAAAUUUGGGCAGUGCAAUUUAACAUAUUCUGCAAGGGCUGCACAACCUGAAGGAUCAAUUCCAGACUUUGCUGAAACAGUGUCACAAAAUUCAAUCAGCAGAUCAAUCCAGCAAAUUAAAUAAGUGGAACAAAUACAUUCUGUUCUAAAUUUCUCCAAAAAAGAGAAGCUAAAAAGCACUACUUGAACCAAAUAAAAAAGGAGGGGCUAUUUUACACUUGUGACAGUGCCAUUAAUCCAGAUUCCAAACAGCUUGAUGUUUUAGUGACUUCAUGGCUUAAUUUCAAUUAUAAGAAAUGCAGAUGCAAGAGAAAUUGGUAAUAGGGAAAAAAAAUUUGCACCAAUGGGAUUGAUACAUGCCGUUGUCUGAUAGAGAGUUAAAGUUUCACAGACUAAAAUGCAACAAACAGAUGACAAGAAUAGUUAAGCUGUCAUUUGAUGGUUGCAAUAGAAACUCCUAAAGUUUCAUUGAAGAUGAGCAUUUUGCUUACUUCUGAAUACUGUAUUUUGGGAGCAAAAGGUGAUAGAAGAGUUGAACACAGAAAACAAGAUGUUUUGAGCAAUUCAAAUGCUACUGACAUCAUGGGUAUAUAAACUACUAAUGGAAUUAUUACAAGAAUAGGUAACGCUUAAUUAGUUUACCCACAUGCUUCUCCACUGGUAUUCACUUGGACAAGGACAUUCAAAGGGUUUCUUCCAAGGCUUGAAACUACUCGGUCAAGAAUAUUUGCAACCUUCUCAUUAUCUACACCCUCUACCAUGGCAAGAUUUGGAACCCCAGCUGCAUAUAGAAAUAAAACUGUUAAAAUAGUGCAGUAUCAUGUACUAGAAAUCUUAGAGCAAGACAAUACAUGUCUAACAUCACGAUCACUCUUUUAGGAAGUUAAAUUAAAAUCAUACGAGCACCAAAAAAAUCUAAAUCUCUCCGAGGAAACACAGAUAAAUCUAAUCAAAUGUGCACAUUCUCCCUCCUCUUAACCCUGACAUAUGGCUGAAACAAUUUUCAGUAUAUUCAAAGUGCAUGAAUAGACAAGGUUUCUAAGUUAAUUUGCACAUAUCUUUGUCAGCCAAAUGGGGUCAACCAUAGGAGAGUUUUAGAGUUCGUAUAGGAAAUUAACAAAUCAAGCAAAAGAAAAUAAGGGGGAAAAUAUAAAGAAGUGGUGCAUGGAGCCAUGGACACCAUCAAAUGGCAUUAGCCUUUCAUCAGUCGGAUUUUUAAGCUUAUGGAUUAACUUUGCCAGAAACAGCAGUUGCCUCAGUGACGGGUUAUAUUAUCAAACCUUUUAUAACCCAAG
rnacentral:misc_RNA from 1 species